rnacentral:rRNA from 1 species
AGAGUUUGAUCCUGGCUCAGAAUGAACGCUGGCGGCGUGCUUUACACAUGCAAGUUGAGCGAGGCCGGUAGCAAUACCGAGUCGAGCGGCGAACGGGUGAGUAACGCGUGGAUAACCUGCCCUGAGGUGGGGAAUAACCCGGGGAAACUCGGGCUAAUACCGCAUGAUACCGAGAGGUCAAAGAGGGGCGUAAGUCUCUCGCCACAGGAGGGGUCCGCGUUCGAUUAGCUAGUUGGUAGGGUAAUGGCCUACCAAGGCGACGAUCGAUAGCCGGCCUGAGAGGGUGAUCGGCCACACUGGAACUGAGACACGGUCCAGACUCCUACGGGAGGCAGCAGUGGGGAAUUUUGCGCAAUGGGCUAACGCCUGACGCAGCAACGCCGCGUGGAGGAUGAAGGUCUUUGGAUUGUAAACUCCUGNUCAGCAGGGAAAAAGGGAUAGGCGCUAAUACCGCUUAAACUUGAUUGUACCUGCAGAGGAAGCCCCGGCUAACUCUGUGCCAGCAGCCGCGGUAAUACAGAGGGGGCAAGCGUUAUUCGGAAUUAUUGGGCGUAAAGGGCGCGUAGGCGGCUUUUCAAGUGACGGGUGAAAUCCCUCNGCUUAACCGAGGAACUGCCUGUCAGACUGGAAGGCUUGAGACCGGGAGAGGUGAGUGGAAUUCCCAGUGUAGCGGUGAAAUGCGUANAUAUUGGGAGGAACACCAGUGG